AGUAUUUAAUUAUUUAUUGAACUUAAAUAUUUUGGCGGUAUUUUAGUUUAUUUAGAGGAAUCUGUUUAUUAAUUGAUAAUCCACGAAUAAAUUUACUUAAUUUAUUAUUUUGUAUAUCAUUGUUAGAAAAAUAUUUUUAAAUGAUAAUAAUAUUUUAAAAUUAUAAUAAAAAUUAAAUCAAAUCAAGAUGCAGAUUAUAAUUAAGAAUAUAAUGGAUUACAAUAAAUUUAUUUAUAUGAAUUUUAAUUUGGAAUAAUUAAAUAAAGGUGGAUUUAAAUGUAAUUUUAUUUAUUUUAAUAGAAUGAU
rnacentral:rRNA from 1 species